AUUGAACGCUGGCGGCAUGCUUUACACAUGCAAGUCGAACGGCAGCACGAAAGAGCUUGCUCUUUUGGUGGCGAGUGGCGAACGGGUGAGUAAUGCAUCGGAACGUACCGAGUAAUGGGGGAUAACUAUCCGAAAGGAUAGCUAAUACCGCAUACGCUUUGAGAAGGAAAGUGGGGGCUCUUCGGACCUCACGUUAUUCGAGCGGCCGAUGUCUGAUUAGCUAGUUGGUGGGGUAAAGGCCUACCAAGGCGACGAUCAGUAGCGGGUCUGAGAGGAUGAUCCGCCACACUGGGACUGAGACACGGCCCAGACUCCUACGGGAGGCAGCAGUGGGGAAUUUUGGACAAUGGGCGCAAGCCUGAUCCAGCCAUGCCGCGUGUCUGAAGAAGGCCUUCGGGUCGUAAAGGACUUUUGUUAGGGAAGAAAAGGAUAGUGUUAAUACCAUUAUCUGCUGA
rnacentral:rRNA from 1 species